GACGAACGCUGGCGGCGUGCCUAAUACAUGCAAGUAGAACGCUGAAGAGAGGAGCUUGCUCUUCUUGGAUGAGUUGCGAACGGGUGAGUAACGCGUAGGUAACCUGCCUUGUAGCGGGGGAUAACUAUUGGAAACGAUAGCUAAUACCGCAUAACAAUGGAUGACACAUGUCAUUUAUUUGAAAGGGGCAAUUGCUCCACUACAAGAUGGACCUGCGUUGUAUUAGCUAGUAGGUGAGGUAAUGGCUCACCUAGGCGACGAUACAUAGCCGACCUGAGAGGGUGAUCGGGCAAACUGGGACUGGGACAAGGCCCAGACUCCUACGGGAGGCAGCAGGAGGGAAUCUUCGGCAAUGGGGGCAACCCUGACCGAGCAACGCCGCGGGAGUGAAGAAGGUUUUCGGAUCGUAAAGCUCUGUUGUAAGUCAAGAACGGGUGUGAGAGUGGAAAGUUCACACUGUGACGGUAGCUGAACAGAAAGGGACGGCUAACUACGUG
rnacentral:rRNA from 1 species